rnacentral:tRNA from 1 species
CAAAAAAUAGUUUAUAAAAAUAAUAAUUUUGGGGAUUAUAGAUAAAGGAUAACCCUUUUUUUUUGA